rnacentral:rRNA from 1 species
UACGUAGGGGGCAAGCGUUGUCCGGAAUUAUUGGGCGUAAAGAGCGCGUAGGCGGUCCGAUAAGUCGGCUGUGAAAGUCAGGGGCUCAACCCUUGAAAGCCGGCCGAUACUGUCGGACUAGAGUCCGGAAGAGGCGAGUGGAAUUCCCGGUGUAGCGGUGAAAUGCGCAGAUAUCAGGAGGAACACCGAUUGCGAAGGCAGCUCGCUGGGACGUUACUGACGCUGAGACGCGAAAGCGUGGGGAGCAAACAGG